rnacentral:piRNA from 1 species
AGUGUCAACUUGAUAUUUAAGAUGGAUCU